rnacentral:rRNA from 1 species
CGAAUAGGGGCAACCCUUAGUAGAGCGGCGCACGGGUGCGUAACACGUGGAUAAUCUGCCUGGAUGCCUGGGAUAACCAGUCGAAAGAUUGGCUAAUACCGGAUAAGCCCACGGUCUCUUCGGAGACUGAGGGAAAAGGUGGCCUCUGUAUACAAGCUAUCACAACCAGAUGAGUCCGCGGCCCAUCAGCUAGUUGGCGGGGUAAUGGCCCACCAAGGCGACGACGGGUAGCUGGUCUGAGAGGACGAUCAGCCACACUGGAACUGAGACACGGUCCAGACUCCUACGGGAGGCAGCAGUGGGGAAUUUUGCGCAAUGGGCGAAAGCCUGACGCAGCAACGCCGCGUGUGUGAUGAAGGUCUUUGGAUUGUAAAGCACUUUCGACCGGGACGAAACCGUAAAGCCUAAUACGCUUUGCCUUGACGGUACCGGGAGAAGAAGCACCGGCUAACUCUGUGCCAGCAGCCGCGGUAAUACAGAGGGUGCAAGCGUUGUUCGGAAUUAUUGGGCGUAAAGCGCGUGUAGGCGGCUUUGCAAGUCGGGUGUGAAAGCCCUCAGCUCAACUGAGGAAGUGCGCCCGAAACUGCAGAGCUUGAGUGCCGGAGAGGGUGGCGGAAUUCCCCAAGUAGAGGUGAAAUUCGUAGAUAUGGGGAGGAACACCGGUGGCGAAGGCGGCCACCUGGACGGUAACUGACGCUGAGACGCGAAAGCGUGGGUA